AUGGUCUCGGAACAGCUUCGUGAAUAUGAGUUGAAGCAAAGCAAGAAGAAGUUGAGGUUUGAAAGUGACUCAAAAGAGUUUGCGGAGAAGGAGAAGCAGAUGAGAGCUGCAGAUGGUGCCAAGGGUGCCAAAUUUGCCAAGAAUCUUGGCAAGAGAACUGCUGAAGCUGGUGGAAAGGAUGAUCCUCAGUGUCAGCGACUACAUGUCACUAAAGGUCCCAACUUUGAUGAUGACGACUUCGUGCUUGCUGAUUUUGUGAGGGAUGUUCAUAGUGGUAGACGCAAAGACUAUGGUUCAUCUAAGAGUCUACCCAAGCGUGCCCGUGAUGAUGUCGAUGAAGAUGUUUGUGGUGACUCUGGCGAGGAGGUGGAUGUUGUUCCAAAGAGGACGAAGUCUAGUAAGAGCAAUGCAGCUGAAGAUGAUGCUGAGGGAUAUGAUUCUCGAUUUAACAAGACCGUACGUUUAUCGCUUCCCACUGUUUGCAAGGCUGCUGCCUUGUUGAAAGAGGCACACUGUAGUCAUGUUCGAGAUGCUGGAUUUGAUGUUGUCUUUGAAUUGACAGUAAAGAAAAAUGUGUCGCGCAUUCUUAUGUGCUAUCUGAUGGGAGUGAUUGACCCUGCCACCAUGAUAAUGGACUUUGGGAAUGGCAGGGUUCUUAUUAGAAUCAAUCGUGAUGCAGUUCAUCACAUUUUUGAUUUACCCAUGGGACGUCACACUGCACCCAUGCCUGCUGCCAGCGGCCAUGAUGACUCGUUGAGUGCCCUCAAGGAUGAGCUUGGCUUUGACCGUUCAAAAAGUAUAGGUGUCAAGGACUUGCUUGAGAAGUUGAAGGUGUUGGUGGAGGAAGAUGAUCAUGUGACUAUUGACAUUGCUGUGAAGGUGUUCUUCCUGAUACCCUACCAGAAUUGGCUGUGUCCCGGGCCUGCAGUUCAUUUGGGUAGAGUUGCUGCAACGGUAGAGAACAUGGAUUAUGCGGCUAUGGCUCAGAUGGACUUUUGCCAGCUUGUUGUUGAUGAGUUGCAGGCAGCUGUGGUGAGGUGGCAAACAGAAGGCAGCAAGCAGAAUUGUGCAGAGGGUUGUGCCAUUGUCCCCCUGAUUAUGUAUCUUGACUGCUUGAAGCUUCGCAAAUUUUCAGUCAUGCACACGUUGACACCACGUGCGUCAUACCUGACGACCAAGGACCUGAUGAAGUUAUACAAUGAGGAUGUCCUUGUGAAGGGAAAGAUUUACUUGGAAACUUACAAAUUUGGGAAGCUGCCCGUUAGUGCAUCUCAGUUUUUAAUAUCAGUUUUUUUGAAGUGGAAGGCGUCAGGUGAUAUUGUGUACAACCGUCCUGUUGCAGUUGUAUGCGGCAGCUCUGAUGCGGGACCUAGCACUCAUGCUAGGUUGAGGACAGUUGCUGGUUUUUUCCCUGUUGGCCAUGCCCCACCAGAUGAAGAUAUUGUUGCUGCUCACAAUUUUUAUUGUGGCGUGAUUGAAAGCCUGAAGAUUGCAGUGACGAAUGUUCGGUCUUUGUAUGCUCAAUUGAGACAUUCACAAGAGGAAAAAUGCGGUCGGUAUGAGAAGGAUGCUGGGCAUAUUUUGGAUGAAAUGAACCGUCGGGACGUUGGCGUUGGCGCUGAUAAUGCUGGAGUGGAAUCUUCUGGUGUCCAUGGAACUAGGGACGAUGGAAUUGGUCAGGAUGGCUCUGGGAAGGAUGAGGUCUUGGCUGAUGCAUCGUCCCCUCCGGAUGUUGAAGCUGAUAAGCCUGGAGAAGAAAACGUGGAAGUUCACAUUGAUCUGAAUCAGGGCGGUUGUGCUGUUGAUGGUGGUGGCAGUGUUAGUGCUUCUGCAUCGGUAGCUGUGGACUGUGCAGACCCUUCUAUAGCUGAAGAAUCCCAUGAUGCUCUUUCCCCCAGUCGGCAUGAAGAUUCUGAUUUUGGCAUUGAAAAGCCGCUGGAGAAUGUCGUCCCUGCUGUUAGUGUUGUUGCUUCCCCUGUUUGUCUGGCGGCCAACGAUGUUCCUGAAGUAUCGAGAGUGGAGCCUCAUGUAGCUGAAGUAUCUAAGUAUGUUGCGGUUGACCAGAAUGUUGUAAAUCCAGAGAAUGUUGAUGUUGCUGCAGAAGGGCAGUCCAAUGACGAACUUCCUGUUGUGACACCGUCGAGCAUUGAUCCAGCUCUUCUGAAAAGAUACAAUGAGUUGUACACUACUGUUACGAGGGUUCGGAAGGACAAGAAGAAGGACAUGAUUGCUUUUAAAACUGAGAUGGGUGAUAUUACCAUUGGCGAAGUUGGUCAAUCCUUUUGGGAUAAAGGGAUGCUCACUAUAAGACUUGUAGAUAUUGGGGUUUCUUUGCUGGUAGAUAAGUUUAAGGGAUCUCCGACAAUGGUUGUCCCGUACCAUAUUUGUACAAAUAUUCUGAAUGGUGGUACUGUAGGUAGGAGUGUUAAAAUGAUGUUCUCUUCAAAAGCCGAGGAGCGUGUUGAUAAAAAGGAUAUGGUCCUUUUUGCACCUUUUGAUCCGCCAGAUACAAGUGAUGGUGUUGGUCAUUAUUGUGUAGUUGCAUUAAAUGUGAAAGAAAGGCGGUUUGAAUUUCUUCACUCGCUCAAUAAACCUGGCAGCCCUGAUGCGAUCAGGAUUUUUAGGAGGAUGGUUAAAAAUAUCAAGCGUGCAUGGAAAGAAGGAAGCUCAAGUUCUGAUGAGCCGCUAAAUCCUCCUACACUUGAUGGAUUUGUGUUGAAACAUGUCAUUGUCCCAAUGCAGCCUAAUGGAUGUGUUCCGCAUGAUUGUGGAUUCUUUAUGUUUCAAUUCCUGCAGACUUGGGAUGGUGUUCGAGUAGCUCAGUUUGGGGUGGAGCGCAUUGGCUACAUCAGAAAGGCCAUGCUCUAUAGUUGGCUCACAUCGAGAAAGGUUUUAGGUUUUGAUGGGGGGCUUCAUGAAGGCUGUACGUCACUGUUCGAGUCCCAGGGUUCUGAUGUGGUUAUGGAGGAUUGCGCCAUUGAAAUCUCUCAAGAUAAUUCGGGUUCUUUGGCUGGAGAUGGUUUGAACACAGCUGUGGCAUCUGGACCUGAUGGUGGAAGUGUUUCUCGACCUAGCUCUCCACGCGAUGUAUUUGAUGUUGAUGAUGAUGAUUUUGUUGCGCCGUGUCCUCGCGUCACGAGGACUCGGAGUGCAGCAAUUAAUCGUCCUCCUGUGGAUGACGUUGAAGUUUUUUCGAACAAGAGGGCAGGCGAGAGGGCUUUUAAGUUGAGAUGCUCUAUAGAGAAAUUGAAGCCUCCGAGGUUCAAAUAUAUUGAUGAGGCGAGGAAAAUAAAGGAUCUUGUUCACAGCAAAGAAUUUGUAACCAAAUACCACGAGAAUGCGUUCUUUAUGGUGAACAAUCCUUUUGGUGAUCUUGAUACUUACACUGUUGACUAUAUCUAUAAUACAUUUGGCAAAGGAGCUUUAAUGGAUUCGUAUCUCAUGGAUUUUGUCAUCAAGUACUGGAAGCAAGACCCUGAAAUGGGUUUAGUUUAUCAUUCUGGUGAAUGUGUGCUAGUUUCACCCUUAUUUAUCACGUAUGUUCUUCAGAUGGAAACAUUUGUGACGAGAGAUGAUGAAGGAAACCCUGUGUUGCCAGUUGUGCAUAGGACGUUUGUUUUACAAGAUGCAGUUAACCAGUUCAAGGUUUUUGUGAGUGACGACAUAAACCUGUUGGAUGCAAAACUGCCUGCUGUUGAAGAUUGGAAGGCGGAGUACAUCUUCCAGCUGCUGUUCAAUUCUUCGAACAUGUUGUGUUAUGAAGAGAUGCCGCUUGAGCCACGAGAACUGAUUGCGGACCUCGGCCUUACUUCCCUGUCGCAAUCGCAGACGCAGUCGCAGACGCAGUAA
rnacentral:rRNA from 1 species